rnacentral:lncRNA from 1 species
UGCAUUUAUUUACUGACUCCUGAAAACAUCGAAACAACGUCCAUCAAAUCAGGUCAAACAUUAUUGAAGAGAAAAAUUGGCUCAACCAAAAUCUAUUCAUCUUUGAUGUAAAGCAAAUACCCCCUCCAUUUAAAAAAGAAUGACCUACUAUCCUUUUUAGUCCGUUUAAAAAAGAAUGAUCCCUUUCCUUUUUUGACAAUACUUUAAUUUUAACUUUCCACAUGGCAUGUUUAGGACCGCAAGAUUAAAGGACAUUUUGAUACAUUUGACACAACUUUUAUUUAAGGCUACAAAAUUCAAAAGUCUUAUUUAUUUUCUUAAACUUUAUGCCAAGUCAAAGUAGGUCAUUCUUUUUUAAAUGAAGAGAGUAACAAAUAUCAAAUAUCAUACAUAGAUGUUAUCUAUGAAACGUAAAACAUACAGGGAUAAUGAACCACAAAGAAAAAUAAAGAAUAAUCCAGGAUCCCUUCAAAUUAAAAAAAUUGCAAAACACAACAUCAACGGUUUUAAUUAUGAACACUUCUUCUACUUCGCAUAUGAGUCAGUUUGCAUGCGCCUCAACUAAUUUGGUCACUCUAUUCACCAAGUUUGGACAAAUAGAAAGAGUUAUCUCGCUUCCAUUGAAAUUUCAAAACAUGGUACCUCUUGGUAUAUAAAUCACUCCAUUGAUCAUUAAGUCACACCUGUGGUACAAAAAACUAUCAAAAAAGAUCCAUUGUGGCAAGCUGACUUUCUUUCCUCCUCCCGCUCUUCUGUAUUUUUCUUCAAUGGGAAAACUAAUUGGGCCUUGCAAGAAAUAACACACAAGCCUAACUUAUUCAUGUCUCAACCAUGUAUUAAACUAUAAAAUACUUCAAUUUUUCGUGGACUUCUAAUUAUAUCUCAACUAACCUUUCCAAUUCGCUGUAGAACCAAAAAGAAUUACCUAUAAAGUUGCUCCAUGUUUGUGGUAUAUAGUCACUUGCACCACAUAAUCUUUGUGUUUCUUGUGCAACCAAAUACUCUUUUCCUAUAUUAUCUGAUAUGAUUAUAAUAGACGAAAAAUAACACAAGAAAUAAAUAGAACUAAAGAAAUUCUCAGAGAAUAGAAUUAGCAUAGAAAGUAACUAUAGAGUGAAUUACGACUCAGAUCCUCUUUAUGAGCUCGUCUAGGAAUAACAUUCUUUAAAAAACUUUUUAUAGGCUUAGAUCCACUUAUGAAAUCGUCUAGUAAUUGCAUUAUUAGCGAACAUUUAAUAAAAGUAGAGGAUCAUCUUAGUUGUAUUUGUGCACCGAAAUGUCAUUAUCUACAUGUAUUUAGCAUAGUUUCAAGGACUUCUUGUAUGUCUAAUGAGUUGUUAAUGAUAUAAUUGAGCAUCUAUGUGUUAAACCACUUUUUAUGGUUUUUAAGGUGUGUUCAAAAUAAGUUUAGAAUCAAAUUGGUCACUUAGAGUCUAGAAAAGAAAACUAGUGUUACUAGCUUAAGCUAUGUGUUAUUUUAGUAUACCUCGAUGGAUUCUAUUGUGUUAUAUGCACUAAUUCGUGGUGCUUGAUGAUGGAGGAUACCAUGCAAGACAUUAGGAGAAAUUUACAGGAGAUUAACAAGGUCUAAAGAUGUUGGAAAGGCACCCGCGAAGUGAGAAAUGCAAAGGCAAAAGAGAGGAGUAGAUGAUGGAAAAAUCUAGAAUUUUUGAUGCCAUGGGCAUGCCAUGCCCUCCAGCUUCCGAGAUAAGGACUGAUAACGCUCAACUUACACUUCAAUUUAGUGCAAGGCAGUCGUCGUCAAUAUAUUUACCCAACUUUGGAGUCGGGGUCAAAUCCACAGGGAAAAAUGUGAGUGGCGAUUAAACUAGUUUGAAACUAAACCUACAAGUUAAAUUCAAAUAACUGGCACGAGAAGACAAAAUGGGGUUUUUAAUGAUUAGCAAAUAAUUUUCGGUCACUUUAAUCAGUGUUUGUAGUCAAGAGUUUAUAGAGAAACCAGAAUUAUAUUAACUAGGGUGUUCGGUACUUGACAGAUGCUAAUAGUGAUUCAACAUUUUC